rnacentral:lncRNA from 1 species
AGCCACACAGGCCCUUCUGACUCACUGAGGCAGCAGCAGGUGGCCUUUGAGAAACAGUGAGACAGAACAGUCCCUUCUGGCCUGGAAAUGCCAGCAGGUGGGGGUGGGGGCAGGCUGCUGCUAAGAUCUGGGGUUCAUUUUACCCCUCUGCAGACUCCACAACCUGUUUCUGCCCCAUCAUCUCCCUGGGAAACGUGUGGGACCCACUUACUUGCAACCCACACACCCUCAGGGCUGUGACUCAACUGGCACUCACGGCAGCCUUCAAUAUUAUUUUUAACCUGACUUCACCUGAUUUGUGGGGGGUGGGGUGGGGACCAGAUUUGCCUAGAAAACUCCACUAAUAGGGCUGGUCCAAGCCGAAAAGGAAGGAGACAAAGUCUUCUUUCCAGCACCUCGAAGAGCCUUUCCCCUGCGUGAACCUGAGAGAAAGAGGCCGGGUCGGCCUACGAAAUGGGCGCCAGGAAAAUCAUCCACAAACUGAUGUGCAUUCACUGCCUCUUUUUUCUGGCUCACCUGUCUGGCCAUGUUUUGUCUUGGGAUGACUCCUCGCAUCCUAUGUUGACAACACCUGGCCAGAAGGGAAGGCAGCCCUAAGCCCGGGGAGCUUCAGAGAUGGCAGCCUACACGCAGGCCGGAAGCACCCCAGAUGCCUCUCGCAUCUGCCAGCGGAAGUCUCCACCUCUUCCGCCCACCAUGCCCUUCCUGCAUAUGUUCCCGAGGAUCAGGGGAAGGCCUGCAGAUGAGCGGUUGGUCUGUUUGGCAUUGGCUGAGCCACACGGCAAGUCUUGUUCAUUCUCCAUCUGGCUGUCUCUGUGAACUUUGCACUGAACUCUUUCCAGCUGCGUCGGCGGCAGCUCUCCUGCCAGGAGGACCCAGUGCCAGGGAGAACAGAAUAAUUGCCUCUCGUGUUGUGCAUGCAGAGCCUUCAUUAACGUGUCCCCGGAGUGGCAUUUGCAGCCCUCUGUCACAGCAGCCUGCCAUUGAAUACCACAAAACUCAUCACCCUCAGAUUCUCCACUGUCUUGAAAGAGCCAGUUAGCCCUUUGUUUCUUCGAGCUGCUUUGGCUCAUUCGGAAAGUCAUGUCGGUGUCCCUGUUAUUAUUUACAUAGAGGAGGUUUCUCUGUUGUCUUGCUCACCAAAUAGCGCAGCUGCAGAUGGUGUUCUUAACCUGGGCCGCCUGUCUUGGAGACAUGCCCAUUGGGAGAGUGUGGCCAAUUCACCAGGGGCCCUCAGCCCCACGCCUGGCAGCCACAUCAUUCACCAGAUGAGCCAGCCGGGCCAGCCUCAUGACUGAGGGACAGCUGCCCAGGUGUUAGUAGAGGCUGCAUUCCAGUGACAUUCCUCCUUGGCAGAAACUUCAAAACUAGAGGGAGACAUUACUCAGGCAGGCUGGUAAGGCAUUCCAGGCUUUCAGACCUCAGGCUUGCAAGACAAACUUAACCUGAUGGUAACAUAGAGUGUAAUAAGAAGCAUCAACUGCACUCCUGCCCAUCUUUGGCAGAUGGAGUGCUGGAGAGGGCAGUAGAGCAUGGAGGCUGAUGGGAACCCUCAUCCACUCAGGCCUUGCACGAAGCCCUUGAAGACAGAACUCUGGUUCUUUCACGAGAACGAC